rnacentral:rRNA from 1 species
UACGUAGGGUGCGAGCGUUACUCGGAAUUACUGGGCGUAAAGCGUGCGCAGGCGGUUUUGUAAGCCAGAUGUGAAAUCCCCGGGCUUAACCUGGGAAUGGCAUUUGGGACUGCAAGGCUUGAGUGCGGCAGAGGAGACUGGAAUUCCUGGUGUAGCAGUGAAAUGCGUAGAUAUCGGGAAGAACACCAGUGGCGAAGGCGGCUACCUGGCACAUAACUGACGCUGAUACGCGGAAGCGUGGGGAGCGAACCGG